rnacentral:misc_RNA from 1 species
GGAAGAAAAAGUCGUAACAAGGUUUCCGUAGGUGAACCUGCGGAAGGAUCAUUAUUGUAUAACCGAGGUGCGAGGGCUGUCGCUGACCCGAAAGGUCGUGCACGCCCGAGUGCCCUCACACACAUCCAUCUCACCCCUAUGUGCACCACCGCGUGGGUCCCCCUUUGGCUUGUUCGGAGGGGGGCUUACGUUUUCACACAAACUUUGUAUGCAGUGUAGAAUGUAUUUUUUGUUUUUGCGAUCACGCAAUCAAUACAACUUUCAACAACGGAUCUCUUGGUUCUG